AUUGAACGCUGGCGGCAUGCCUUACACAUGCAAGUCGAACGGCAGCACGGGUGCUUGCACCUGGUGGCGAGUGGCGAACGGGUGAGUAAUACAUCGGAACGUACCUUAUCGUGGGGGAUAACGCAGCGAAAGCUGUGCUAAUACCGCAUACGCACUGAAGGGGAAAGCGGGGGAUCGAAAGACCUCGCGCGACUAGAGCGGCCGAUGCCUGAUUAGCUUGUUGGUGGGGUAAAAGCCCACCAAGGCGACGAUCAGUAGCUAGUCUGAGAGGACGAUCAGCCACACUGGGACUGAGACACGGCCCAGACUCCUACGGGAGGCAGCAGUGGGGAAUUUUGGACAAUGGGGGCAACCCUGAUCCAGCAAUGCCGCGUGAGUGAAGAAGGCCUUCGGGUUGUAAAGCUCUUUUGUCAGGGAAGAAACACCGGCUCUAACACAGUCCGGGAAUGACGGUACCUGAAGAAUAAGCACCGGCUAACUACGUGCCAGCCGCCGCAGUAA
rnacentral:rRNA from 1 species